GACGAACGCUGGCGGCGUGCUUAACACAUGCGAGUCGAACGAUGAAGCCUAGCUUGCUAGGUGGAUUAGUGGCGAACGGGUGAGUAAUACGUGAGUAACCUACCUUUAACUCUGGGAUAAGCCUGGGAAACUGGGUCUAAUACCGGAUACGACCAAUCUCCGCAUGGGGUGUUGGUGGAAAGCGUUAUGUAGUGGUUAUAGAUGGGCUCACGGCCUAUCAGCUUGUUGGUGAGGUAACGGCUCACCAAGGCGACGACGGGUAGCCGGCCUGAGAGGGUGACCGGCCACACUGGGACUGAGACACGGCCCAGACUCCUACGGGAGGCAGCAGUGGGGAAUAUUGCACAAUGGGCGCAAGCCUGAUGCAGCGACGCCGCGUGAGGGAUGACGGCCUUCGGGUUGUAAACCUCUGUUAGCAGGGAAGAAGAGAGAUUGACGGUACCUGCAGAGAAAGCGCCGGCUAA
rnacentral:rRNA from 1 species